UAAAUCUUGAUUCUGGAUUAGGAGUCUAUUUUACCUAAAAGUUAUAUGCCAAUCUUUAUUCAAUAGAAUACCUGCAGUAAUUUAUAUUAGUAGUUAUUGGGAUAGAACUAGUUAUAGGUAAGAGAGGGGGUAAAUCUUGUGCCAGCAUCCGCGGUCAUACAAGAUCUUUAAAUAGAUUUUAUUGGAAAUUGUUUUUUCUGUUUGAACUAAAGUUCACUUCUAAGGGGUAAAAUCCGGAAUUAAAUUUAAAAAUUUUAUCAAGGAAUAAUUUUUAAGGAUUGUUGACUAGGAUUAGAUACCCUAUUAGUCCUUUGUUUGAUCCCGGGUAGUAAAUUUGAAACCUAAAGAAUUUGGCGGUCUUUAAACUUAUUAGAGGAACCUGUCCUAUAAUCGAUAGUCCACGAGUAUAUCUACCUACCCUUGUUCUCAGUUUAUAUACCGCCGUUUAAGUAGCUAAAAUAAUAGGUUUCUAAAAUCAAUUAGUUGAAUAAAUCAGGUCAAGGUGUAGCUCAUGGGUAGGAAGAGAUGGGUUACAAUGAAAUUUCAAACGGAUUUCGAAGAUUAUCGAAGAAUGAAGGUGGAUUUAAAAGUAAGAAUUAAAAGUUCUGAAAAGAGCUCUUGAAGAUGUACACAUCGCCCGUCGCUCUCUUGUCUGAAGAGAUAAGUCGUAACAAAGUAGAUUUACUGGAAAGUUAAUCUUGGAAGUU
rnacentral:ncRNA from 1 species